rnacentral:rRNA from 1 species
GUUGAACGCUGGCGGCGUGCCUAAUACAUGCAAGUCGAGCGAACAGACGAGGAGCUUGCUCCUCUGACGUUAGCGGCGGACGGGUGAGUAACACGUGGAUAACCUACCUAUAAGACUGGGAUAACUUCGGGAAACCGGAGCUAAUACCGGAUAAUAUAUUGAACCGCAUGGUUCAAUAGUGAAAGACGGUUUUGCGGUCACUUAUAGAUGGAUCCGCGCCGCAUUAGCUAGUUGGUAAGGUAACGGCUUACCAAGGCAACGAUGCGUAGCCGACCUGAGAGGGUGAUCGGCCACACUGGAACUGAGACACGGUCCAGACUCCUACGGGAGGCAGCAGUAGGGAAUCUUCCGCAAUGGGCGAAAGCCUGACGGAGCAACGCCGCGUGAGUGAUGAAGGUCUUCGGAUCGUAAAACUCUGUUAUUAGGGAAGAACAAAUGUGUAAGUAACUAUGCACGUCUUGACGGUACCUAAUCAGAAAGCCACGGCUAACUACGUG